AUGUUUCUUUUUAGUAAUUGUUAUUGCUAGAUUGUUUUAGUUUCAGUUUUACUAAUGUAGCUCCAUGUAUUGUACUCUUUGUGCAGGAUUGCCGGUCAUGCCAAAAGUCGGCCGGAAGGUGAGAUGCUCAAUGAAAGCCAACACUGGAUCGCAAAAGGGCAGCACUAAGGCGGAUAUGGGAGCAUCAUUGAUGGCUGCAGCUAUAUAUGUCGAGCCCUGAAGCCAUGACCUUAAUGAGGACGAGGAAUCUGGUUUAUCCCUGUAAGCUAAACUUGUUCACCUCCUUGAAAUCGGCAACAAUGUAAUACCAGUACAUUAUGAAGUUUCAUUUGACUGUACUCUACUUUUUUCUCAUCUUACCGUUCCACACUCAUUUUUCAUUCGAUUCAUUCAUUAGCCGCGUGUUCUGUGCUCAAGAUUGCAGGCUCAAUAUGUGCUCCUCAGACCACUUCCAAGUGACCAAAACUGCAGCAAAAUCUGUACUUGGAUUUGGUGGGGUGUACCAGGCCAAGGCAAUAGUGCAACACCAAGGCAACGCUUGAAACCCCCAAAAGCAAGCUAUUAUGACGGGACCACCCCUCAAAAAAUAUAUUUAAUAUCGUGUGAACCAAUUGGUAGUCAUUAACUGCUAGAAGAGUUCAACCGUUCAUCCAUUGAUAGAAUCAACUGCUAAUUUAAAGAUCAUAAGAUUUAUCUAUCAACUGUUAAGGUACUAUAGUUUUGUUAGAGCACCACAUCAUCCGUUGAUGGGUAAUCUGAUCAACUGGUAAUACAUAAGUAUGCUAGCCGUUGAUCAGCUAUGAUAGAAAUUAUUCUAAGUACAAAAUUGAAAUUGAUUUGUAUCAUCAAGCAUCGCAUAUUCCUA
rnacentral:lncRNA from 1 species